rnacentral:tRNA from 1 species
GCACCCGUAGCUCAAUUGGAUAGAGCGGUGGACUUCGGAUCCAUCGGUUGGGGGUUCGAGUCCUCCCGGGUGCG